rnacentral:rRNA from 1 species
CAGUCGCCGCGGGAAUACGAACUGUGCGAACGUUAUUCGGAAUUACUGGGCUUAAAGCGCGUGUAGGCGGGUGGGCACGUCGGACGCUGAAAUCCCCCGGCUCAACCGGGGAAGUGGCGCCGAUACGGCCGGCCUGGAGGGGGGUAGGGGGGCCUGGAACUUCCGGUGGAGCGGUGAAAUGCGUUGAGAUCGGAAGGAACGCCCGUGGCGAAAGCGAGGCCCUGGACCCUUUCUGACGCUGAGACGCGAAAGCCAGGGGAGCGAACGGGAUUAGAUACCCCUGUAGUCCCUGUCUCUUAUA